rnacentral:rRNA from 1 species
GACGGAAGGUGCAAGCGUUGCUCGGAAUCACUGGGCGUAAAGGGUGCGUAGGCGGCUUGGUGGGUCUGGUGUGAAAGCCCCGGGCUCAGCCCGGGAAGGGCACUAGAAACUGCCGAGCUGGAGUGCCGGAGGGGAGAGUGGAAUUCCUGGUGUAGCGGUGAAAUGCGUAGAUAUCGUAAGGAAGACCAGUGGCGAAGGCGGGUCUCUGGACAGUUCCUGACGCUGAGGCACGAAGGCCAGGGGAGCAAACGGGG